rnacentral:rRNA from 1 species
UGGCUAACUCCUACGGGAGGCAGCAGUGGGGGGUAUUGCACAAUGGGCGGAAGCCUGAUGCCGCGACGUCGCGUGAGGGAUGGAGGCCUUCGGGUUGUGAACCUCUUUCUCCGGUGGUGAAGGCCCUGUCCGUUGCGGCGGGGUUGACGGUAGCCGGGUAUGAAGCGCCGGCUAACCACGUGCCAGCAGCCGCGGUGAUACGUAGGGCGCGAGCGUUGUCCGGAAUUAUUGGGCGUGAAGGGCUUGUGGGCGGCCGGUCGCGUCCGCCGUGAAAUUCUCCGGCUCAACCGGGGGCUUGCGGUGGGUACGGGCCGGCUGGAGUGCGGUAGGGGAGGCUGGAACUCCUGGUGUAGCGGUGGAAUGCGCAGAUAUCAGGAGGAACACCGGUGGCGAAGGCGGGUCUCUGGGCCGUUACUGACGCUGAGGAGCGAAAGCGUGGGGAGCGAACAGGAUUAGAUACCCGGGUAGUCCAGCUGG